UAGGGAAUCUUCGGCAAUGGACGAAAGUCUGACCGAGCAACGCCGCGUGAGUGAAGAAGGUUUUCGGAUCGUAAAACUCUGUUGGUAAAGAAGAACAAGGGUGAGAGUAAAAUGUUCACCCCCUUGACGGUAUUUACCCAGAAAGCCACGGCUAACUACGUGCCAGCAGCCGCGGUAAUACGUAGGUGGCAAGCGUUGUCCGGAUUUAUUGGGCGUAAAGCGAGCGCAGGCGGUCUUCUAAGUCUGAUGUGAAAGCCCCCGGCUCAACCGGGGAGGGUCAUUGGAAACUGGGAGACUUGAGUGCAGAAGAGGAGAGUGGAAUUCCAAGUGUAGCGGUGAAAUGCGUAGAUAUUUGGAGGAACACCAGUGGCGAAGGCGACUCUCUGGUCUGUAACUGACGCUGAGGCUCGAAAGCGUGGGGAGCAAACAGGAUUAGAUACCC
rnacentral:rRNA from 1 species